rnacentral:tRNA from 1 species
CGCCGGAGCGGGUGGGGGCACCGGGCGGUAGGGCCGCUCCUAGACGGCGGCCUUCAGGUUCCACUUCUGGUUGGCGCC